UGUGCACUCUAUUCUAUAUUUUAGUGAAACCCACCUUUCACUCUGUCACCACGCAUGUUUUUAUUAUCGACUCCAUGCUGUACCUUCCUUUGUAAGGAGGAACCUAAAAUUGUAGUCCCCCUUAUUAUCAUUCUUGCGGAUGUAACCACUGGCAUGGAGACACUUACCCUGUGCAGGUCCUAUCGGUCUACACACAGCCUACACCUUUUCCCACACCAAGUUGCAACCAUACAUGCC